rnacentral:rRNA from 1 species
AUUGAACGCUGGCGGCAGGCUUAACACAUGCAAGUCGAGCGGGGUGAUGGUGCUUGCACUAUCACUUAGCGGCGGACGGGUGAGUAAUGCUUAGGAAUCUGCCUAUUAGUGGGGGACAACAUCUCGAAAGGGAUGCUAAUACCGCAUACGUCCUACGGGAGAAAGCAGGGGAUCACUUGUGACCUUGCGCUAAUAGAUGAGCCUAAGUCGGAUUAGAUAGUUGGUGGGGUAAAGGCCUACCAAGGCGACGAUCUGUAGAGGGUCUGAGAGGAUGAUCCGCCCCACUGGGACUGAGACACGGCCCAGGCGCCUACGGGAGGCAGCAGUGGGGAAUAUUGGACAAUUGGGGGAACCCUUAUCCAGCCAUGCCGCGUGUGUGAAGAAGGCCUUAUGGUUGUAAAGCACUUUAAGCGAGGAGGAGGCUCUUUUGGUUAAUACCCAAGAUCAGUGGACGUUACUCGCAGAAUAAGCACCGGCUAACUCUGUGCCAGCCGCCGCGGUAA